GGUUAAGCGACUAAGCGUACACGGUGGAUGCCCUGGCAGUCAGAGGCGAUGAAGGACGUGCUAAUCUGCGAUAAGCGUCGGUAAGGUGAUAUGAACCGUUAUAACCGGCGAUUUCCGAAUGGGGAAACCCAGUGUGUUUCGACACACUAUCAUUAACUGAAUCCAUAGGUUAAUGAGGCGAACCGGGGGAACUGAAACAUCUAAGUACCCCGAGGAAAAGAAAUCAACCGAGAUUCCCCCAGUAGCGGCGAGCGAACGGGGAGCAGCCCAGAGCCUGAAUCAGUGUGUGUGUUAGUGGAAGCGUCUGGAAAGGCGCGCGAUACAGGGUGACAGCCCCGUACACAAAAAUGCACAUGCUGUGAGCUCGAUGAGUAGGGCGGGACACGUGGUAUCCUGUCUGAAUAUGGGGGGACCAUCCUCCAAGGCUAAAUACUCCUGACUGACCGAUAGUGAACCAGUACCGUGAGGGAAAGGCGAAAAGAACCCCGGCGAGGGGAGUGAAAAAGAACCUGAAACCGUGUACGUACAAGCAGUGGGAGCACGCUUAGGCGUGUGACUGCGUACCUUUUGUAUAAUGGGUCAGCGACUUAUAUUCUGUAGCAAGGUUAACCGAAUAGGGGAGCCGAAGGGAAACCGAGUCUUAACUGGGCGUUAAGUUGCAGGGUAUAGACCCGAAACCCGGUGAUCUAGCCAUGGGCAGGUUGAAGGUUGGGUAACACUAACUGGAGGACCGAACCGACUAAUGUUGAAAAAUUAGCGGAUGACUUGUGGCUGGGGGUGAAAGGCCAAUCAAACCGGGAGAUAGCUGGUUCUCCCCGAAAGCUAUUUAGGUAGCGCCUCGUGAAUUCAUCUCCGGGGGUAGAGCACUGUUUCGGCAAGGGGGUCAUCCCGACUUACCAACCCGAUGCAAACUGCGAAUACCGGAGAAUGUUAUCACGGGAGACACACGGCGGGUGCUAACGUCCGUCGUGAAGAGGGAAACAACCCAGACCGCCAGCUAAGGUCCCAAAGUCAUGGUUAAGUGGGAAACGAUGUGGGAAGGCCCAGACAGCCAGGAUGUUGGCUUAGAAGCAGCCAUCAUUUAAAGAAAGCGUAAUAGCUCACUGGUCGAGUCGGCCUGCGCGGAAGAUGUAACGGGGCUAAACCAUGCACCGAAGCUGCGGCAGCGACACUAUGUGUUGUUGGGUAGGGGAGCGUUCUGUAAGCCUGUGAAGGUGUGCUGUGAGGCAUGCUGGAGGUAUCAGAAGUGCGAAUGCUGACAUAAGUAACGAUAAAGCGGGUGAAAAGCCCGCUCGCCGGAAGACCAAGGGUUCCUGUCCAACGUUAAUCGGGGCAGGGUGAGUCGACCCCUAAGGCGAGGCCGAAAGGCGUAGUCGAUGGGAAACAGGUUAAUAUUCCUGUACUUGGUGUUACUGCGAAGGGGGGACGGAGAAGGCUAUGUUGGCCGGGCGACGGUUGUCCCGGUUUAAGCGUGUAGGCUGGUUUUCCAGGCAAAUCCGGAAAAUCAAGGCUGAGGCGUGAUGACGAGGCACUACGGUGCUGAAGCAACAAAUGCCCUGCUUCCAGGAAAAGCCUCUAAGCAUCAGGUAACAUCAAAUCGUACCCCAAACCGACACAGGUGGUCAGGUAGAGAAUACCAAGGCGCUUGAGAGAACUCGGGUGAAGGAACUAGGCAAAAUGGUGCCGUAACUUCGGGAGAAGGCACGCUGAUAUGUAGGUGAAGUCCCUCGCGGAUGGAGCUGAAAUCAGUCGAAGAUACCAGCUGGCUGCAACUGUUUAUUAAAAACACAGCACUGUGCAAACACGAAAGUGGACGUAUACGGUGUGACGCCUGCCCGGUGCCGGAAGGUUAAUUGAUGGGGUCAGCGCAAGCGAAGCUCUUGAUCGAAGCCCCGGUAAACGGCGGCCGUAACUAUAACGGUCCUAAGGUAGCGAAAUUCCUUGUCGGGUAAGUUCCGACCUGCACGAAUGGCGUAAUGAUGGCCAGGCUGUCUCCACCCGAGACUCAGUGAAAUUGAACUCGCUGUGAAGAUGCAGUGUACCCGCGGCAAGACGGAAAGACCCCGUGAACCUUUACUAUAGCUUGACACUGAACAUUGAGCCUUGAUGUGUAGGAUAGGUGGGAGGCUUGGAAGUGUGGACGCCAGUCUGCAUGGAGCCGACCUUGAAAUACCACCCUUUAAUGUUUGAUGUUCUAACGUUGACCCGUAAUCCGGGUUGCGGACAGUGUCUGGUGGGUAGUUUGACUGGGGCGGUCUCCUCCUAAAGAGUAACGGAGGAGCACGAAGGUUGGCUAAUCCUGGUCGGACAUCAGGAGGUUAGUGCAAUGGCAUAAGCCAGCUUGACUGCGAGCGUGACGGCGCGAGCAGGUGCGAAAGCAGGUCAUAGUGAUCCGGUGGUUCUGAAUGGAAGGGCCAUCGCUCAACGGAUAAAAGGUACUCCGGGGAUAACAGGCUGAUACCGCCCAAGAGUUCAUAUCGACGGCGGUGUUUGGCACCUCGAUGUCGGCUCAUCACAUCCUGGGGCUGAAGUAGGUCCCAAGGGUAUGGCUGUUCGCCAUUUAAAGUGGUACGCGAGCUGGGUUUAGAACGUCGUGAGACAGUUCGGUCCCUAUCUGCCGUGGGCGCUGGAGAACUGAGGGGGGCUGCUCCUAGUACGAGAGGACCGGAGUGGACGCAUCACUGGUGUUCGGGUUGUCAUGCCAAUGGCACUGCCCGGUAGCUAAAUGCGGAAGAGAUAAGUGCUGAAAGCAUCUAAGCACGAAACUUGCCCCGAGAUGAGUUCUCCCUGACUCCUUGAGAGUCCUGAAGGAACGUUGAAGACGACGACGUUGAUAGGCCGGGUGUGUAAGCGCAGCGAUGCGUUGAGCUAACCGGUACUAAUGAACCGUGAGGCUUAACCUU
rnacentral:rRNA from 1 species